rnacentral:rRNA from 1 species
GGAUAACCUACCCUUAGGACUGGGAUAACCCUGGGAAACUGGGGAUAAUACUGGAUAGGCAAUUAUUCCUGUAAUGGUUUUUUGUUUAAAUGUUUUUUCGCCUAAGGAUGGGUCUGCGGCCGAUUAGGUAGUUGGUUAGGUAAUGGCUUACCAAGCCUUUGAUCGGUACGGGUUGUGAGAGCAAGAGCCCGGAGAUGGAACCUGAGACAAGGUUCCAGGCCCUACGGGGUGCAGCAGGCGCGAAACCUCCGCAAUGUGAGAAAUCGCGACGGGGGGACCCCAAGUGCCAUUCUUAACGGGAUGGCUUUUCAUUAGUGUAAAGAGCUUUUGGAAUAAGAGCUGGGCAAGACCGGUGCCAGCCGCCGCGGUAACACCGGCAGCUCUAGUGGUAGCAGUUUUUAUUGGGCCUAAAGCGUCCGUAGCCGGUUUAAUAAGUCUCUGGUGAAAUCCUGCAGCUUAACUGUGGGAAUUGCUGGAGAUACUAUUAGACUUGAGAUCGGGAGAGGUUAGAGGUACUCCCAGGGUAGAGGUGAAAUUCUGUAAUCCUGGGAGGACCGCCUGUUGCGAAGGCGUCUGACUGGAACGAUUCUGACGGUGAGGGACGAAAGCUAGGGGCGCGAACCGGAUUAGAUACCCGGGUAGUCCUAGCUGUAAACGAUGCGGACUUGGUGUUGGGGUGGCUUUGAGCUGUCCCAGUGCCGAAGGGAAGCUGUUAAGUCCGCCGCCUGGGAAGUACGGUCGCAAGACUGAAACUUAA